AGGACGAACGCUGGCGGCGUGCUUAACACAUGCAAGUCGAGCGGUAAGGCCUUUCGGGGUACACGAGCGGCGAACGGGUGAGUAACACGUGGGUGAUCUGCCCUGCACUUCGGGAUAAGCCUGGGAAACUGGGUCUAAUACCGGAUAUGACCUCCUAUCGCAUGGUGGGUGGUGGAAAGAUUUAUCGGGUGCAGGAUGGGCCCGCGGCCUAUCAGCUUGUUGGUGGGGUAAUGGCCUACCAAGGCGACGACGGGUAGCCGACCUGAGAGGGUGACCGGCCACACUGGGACUGAGACACGGCCCAGACUCCUACGGGAGGCAGCAGUGGGGAAUAUUGCACAAUGGGCGAAAGCCUGAUGCAGCGACGCCGCGUGAGGAUGACGGCCUUCGGGUUGUAAACCUUCUUUCAGCAGGACGAAGCGCAAGUGACGGUACCUGCAGAAGAAGCAACCGGCUAACUACGUGCCGAAGCAGCCGC
rnacentral:rRNA from 1 species